rnacentral:rRNA from 1 species
UACGUAGGGUGCAAGCGUUGUCCGGAAUUAUUGGGCGUAAAGAGCUCGUAGGCGGUUUGUCGCGUCUGCUGUGAAAUCCCGAGGCUCAACCUCGGGUCUGCAGUGGGUACGGGCAGACUAGAGUGCGGUAGGGGAGAUUGGAACUCCUGGUGUAGCGGUGGAAUGCGCAGAUAUCAGGAAGAACACCGAUGGCGAAGGCAGAUCUCUGGGCCGAUACUGACGCUGAGGAGCGAAAGCGUGGGGAGCAAACAGG